rnacentral:rRNA from 1 species
AACGUAGGAGACAAACGUUAUCCGGAGUUACUGGGCGUAAAGGGCGUGUAGGUGGUUUCGUAAGUCUGGCGUGAAAUAUCUCGGCUUAACCGAGGCAGGUCGUCGGAUACUGCGGGACUAGAGGACGGUAGAGGCGUGUGGAAUUCCGGGUGUAGUGGUGAAAUGCGUAGAGAUCCGGAGGAACACCAGUGGCGAAGGCGGUUCUCUGGGCAUGAUCUGACGCUGAGGAGCGAAAGUGUGGGGAGCGAACAGG